UUUUCGCACUCUGGAGAGCGGCAGUAGCGCCCGUGCACUAACCCGCACGCGCAGGCUGCCCACCGAAGGGGCGCGCGCCAGCCCAUCAGCACUCGCUGACGGCAGCGCAAUCUCUCAGGUAUCGAGGACAGAGGGGGCAUG
rnacentral:ncRNA from 1 species